rnacentral:rRNA from 1 species
UACGAAGGGUGCAAGCGUUACUCGGAAUUACUGGGCGUAAAGCGUGCGUAGGUGGCGCGUUAAGUCCGUUGUGAAAGCCCUGGGCUCAACCCAGGAACUGCUUCGGAUACUGGCGCGCUUGAGGCUAGUAGGGGUCACUGGAACUGACGGUGGAGCGGUGAAAUGCGUAGAUAUCGUCAGGAACGCCAAUGGUGAAGACAGGUGACUGGGCUAGUUCUGACACUGAGGCACGAAAGCGUGGGGAGCGAACGGG